GACGAACGCUGGCGGCGUGCCUAAUACAUGCAAGUAGAACGCUGAAGGAGGAGCUUGCUUCUCUGGAUGAGUUGCGAACGGGUGAGUAACGCGUAGGUAACCUGCCUGGUAGCGGGGGAUAACUAUUGGAAACGAUAGCUAAUACCGCAUAAUAGUAGAUGUUGCAUGACAUUUGCCUAAAAGGUGCAAUUGCAUCACUACCAGAUGGACCUGCGUUGUAUUAGCUAGUUGGUGGGGUAACGGCUCACCAAGGCGACGAUACAUAGCCGACCUGAGAGGGUGAUCGGCCACACUGGGACGGAGACACGGCCCAGACUCCUACGGGAGGCAGCAGUAGGGAAUCGUCGGCAAUGGACGGAAGUCUGACCGAGCAACGCCGCGUGAGUGAAGAAGGUUUUCGGAUCGUAAAGCUCUGUUGUAAGAGAAGAACGAGUGUGAGAGUGGAAAGUUCACACUGUGACGGUAUCUUACCAGAAAGGGACGGCUAACUACGUG
rnacentral:rRNA from 1 species